GCCUUGCUGUGGUUCCUUUUGCCGGUGGGCGACACAAUGGCCACGAUCAACUCGUCCUCCCGCAGGGAGAGGAAAGUUUCCUUCCAGAGUAAAUCCUGCUUCUUCAAAGUUUCCAGUUGCUGCCUGGAUUGAAGCGCCUUAUCUCUGAAAGCAGAUCUGACAGCUCUCCCCCGUUCAGAGGCUUCAAGUUAACUGUGAUCAACAGAUGAGAACUAGUCGGUCCCUGACUUUGUUUCACACAUAACUACGGCACUCAGUCAGGAAGCACUUUGCCAGACAUAAUACAGAGCAAUGUGUGCGUCUUUCUCUUGGUCCUAAUGCCCUCACUGUUCUUGUCCUAUCAAAUCAAAACUUUGCAAAAGCUGUAGGAGGUGAAAUAUAAGAAGCAAAACAUUGUAUUAGAAAAGAAAUCAAGGCACGCCACGAAUCACUCUACUUCUGAAUAGCCGUAUUAAGCUAAGAAUGCUCAGAGCAAGAAGCAAGAAUUUUAUAAACUGAGUAAAAGACGGAGUGCACAUGAUUUAUUUAAGGUUAGAUUUAUUCAUAUGGUACUGUGCUAGCUGGAGUAUAUGAGUAUAUUUCACAUUCAAUAAAUAUUUACAGCUGUAGGGAUUUUAACACUGACAUAAGGAUGCCAAAUUAUCACCUGGCAGACUGGAGUUGUCUUCUCAUCCAUAAAUUUGGUAUUGCAGAACAAGCAGCACUUCAAGUUUUCAUUAGUCCAGGAAUAACAUGUAGAAAGCCUGGGCUGGAACAACAGCUACUGACACUGAAAGAAAACAACAACUUCUGUGAUUAAAAGGGGAGCUCAGUCUCUGAGGUCUGUUUGCUAAUAUUGCUGGCAUGGGUGCUACUGGGCAUGGACUGUGGCAUUUUUUGCUGCGAGAUGGAUGCUUGUCCAAUGGGAAAAGGGGUGAGACAGUCCACAUUCUUCAGUGUCACAUGCCUCUUGGUCUGGCAGAGACCAGGUAUGGAUGUAACUCAGGUGUUACCAACCCUUUUGAUGCUGAGAUCAUGGGAUGUGGUUUUUUGCAUAUCUUGUAAUAUUUGAUGAGCAGAAAGCUCCAGCUCCAGUAGCGAUGUGAUUACUGGAGAACUUCCACGUUCACCUUUUGUAAAAAAGUACACUUCUAGGUAUUAUAGGUAAAAGAAAAGCCUGAAGACAUGAAUGCAGUAUACUCUAAAGGGAACCAAGGAUUUGUUCUUUUUUUUUUCUCUUCCCCAUUACUUCCCUGUAAGGUGUUCUGUAAGUUCAGCCUAUGGUUCCUGGUAAACAGCUUCCAAAAAAUUAAAAAUGAGAGGACACCUACUUUCAAAUUAAAAUGAGUCAUGGCCUUCAAAAGGAAGGACGGGAUAGAGCACCUUAAAAUUGCUGGAGGCAUAUAGUGUCUCUCACUUCUGUGCGUACUCCCCUAACCUUCUUAUACAGAAUGCCUUGAGGUAGUGUGACCAGUCUGCUGUGUCUUGGCACCUUCCCUACCUCAGCUGUUCUUUAAAAGGUAUAAUACUGCUUUAAUCAUAUCAUAUUUUGAUACUUCACCAUUGUGUCUGUCUCCCCUUUUUAGCUUAAAUUCAGAGAAAAGUAACAUCCCAACCCACCUUCAUCCCUAAGAAUAUUACUCUUUAUCCUGCUUUUCAUAGGGAGAAAGAAGUGUUGAUGUUUUCCAUUCAGCAGGGAAGCAGCACACAUUUGCAUUUAAAAAAUCUGAGUUCAAAAGCAUUCAUUUAAAUAACAAUAUGUGUCAGCCAUAGAAAGACAAAAUGAAAUGGAAAUGAAGAGACCUGUCUGAGGCACUCUGCAAAAAGCUGGCACCAGUGACUUGCAAAAGGUUCAGUUCCACAGAGUCCCAUUAUCAGGCAUAUGGAAGAAAAAAGGAAAGAAAAGAAAAGAAAAGAAAAGAGAAAAGAAAAGAAGAAACUUAAGAGUGUGUGGAAUACAUGGGAGAAAGUAUUACCGGCUUUUUUUCUUUUUUACUUUUCUGAUGUACCCAAGUAUUUUGAUUUAAUUUAAUUAAUAUUUUUGCCCUGGCUAAAAUAUUAUAUCAGGGUGCUGUAACAACUCUGAUCAAGAUAAUUCUAGCCUGCAGUGGUAACUGCUGUAUAAAUUCUGUCCUGGUAUGUUCUGUGUUGCUGAGCAAAUCCACUGGGGUCUCUUGUGCAGCUAUGUUUCAGCUAUACAUGAAAAGAGACCCAGUUAACAAAUGUACAGCAAUCUGCUACUUUUGGGACAGAGCUGAUGACAGGUAAUGUUAUCACUGAAACAUAUGCAUAUGGAUCUGACCUUUGAAUAUAUCCUGUCCAUUUUAACAAAGAAGAAACGAACAAUUACAGAAGAUGUUUGGAGGUCACUUUAGUCAAUUAAAUGUGCAAGUAUAAAACACUGGGUGGCACACUUCCAGCAGCCUCUAUUCCCUGUCCAGCAUGGAUCUCUGUUGAAACUUGCUCACAACCAUCCCCACUUCUGCACAACAAGCCUUCCUGAACCAGCUCCCAUCAACCAGUCCGUUUUCCAACUUCCUCUCUUAAAAAUGAGCCAGGAAAGCACCAUGGUUUUCCACUGCCAGCAUACAAAAGAGAGAUUGUCUUUCCAAUGGAUGAGCCUUUCAGUGUCUGAGAGGACACAUCUUGUUUCCAAAAUGCACUUGAAGAGCAGCAUCACUUUCUUAUCAUGUCCCCACCUGGAAGUCAAGAAGACCACAUCCAUCAUAUUUUCUUUCUACCUGUGUUUACUAAAAAGCAUGCUACAAAUUAGGCCCUUCACUGGGACAUGGGAUGUGUUGCUCCUCCUGCCUAGCUGUGGCGGAGUCGCUCUCCCCAGGCAUCCUGGGACACUUUCCUCUGCAUCCUUUGAUGGAAGAGGAAGGAGCACUGCAUGUCCCAGGCUCUACGCAGAGGCCUAAAGCCACUUCCUCCUUCCCCACUCCCACUCUCUUAGUGCUGCUUCAUGCACGUAGCCCAUGAAAGAGGCUGCCCACAAAAGGUAUUGUCCUUGGACUGCUGUUCUACAGCAGACCCUAGAGCUCCUCAGUCAGUGGGAGAGGAACAUGUACAGGCUGCGCAAGUGUUCCGGAAAGGGCCAGCCUCCGGUGCCAAUGUUGGCCAGUGCCAAUAUUGGCCAGUGCCAAUAUUGUGUUGUCUUUCCUGAUGGUCAACCCAUGCAAGUGCUAAAAGACUUAGGCUCCUACCAGUCCUGGUCAGGCACACCCAGUUGUGGAAGGUAUACAUACCUUCAGUAGAUACAAAGCUAAGCUGUAUUGACUAAUCCAUUCUUUAAUGCUUGCUUAUGCCUCUGAUUGGUGAGAAAGAAAUGCUCACUAAUUGCCAAGAGCUAGAACAUGAAAUCAAAUCUAGGUCUUAGUAUCCAUUUGAAAAGUAUUAGGAAACAUAGUUGCUUUAUCCAGAGUAAUAAACCUCUCAGUCACUGUGGUGUAGCUGUUUGUACUUACCCUUUCCUCUCCACCUCAUUUUGGCUUCGUUUUUGUACAAACCAUUCCCCAUCACAUACUUGUUAAAUAUUAUGUGACAUGUUAUGUUAUCGGUAUGUGAAGAAACAACACAUACUUUCAAUGUGCAGAGCCCAUAUUUAACUGCCAGGAAAAUAACAAAGCAAGAACAAAACCAAGGCUGGAUGGAAGAAAGAGCGUGUGGACAGGUUGUUACUUACUCUUUAAUAAACAUCUUGGAUUGAUUUACACUCCUAUGCCAAAAGCAGAUGUGCCACCUUCCAUUUAAAGACUCAACACGUAGCAGCACUCAUGGUUUCAUAGCUGCAUGUAUUAUAUGCCACAGCUCUUUGUGCAUUUUAACAAUGGCUUUGUUUGCACAGAAGUGAAGAAAGUCAGUGCAUAAAAUGAGACUGAUUACAUGGUGCACAGGAUCUGUGGUGGUUUUAUAAUCAAGUUACUUUCCCCAUUCUUCCCAGGAUACAAUAAGAAAUAUGUAAUUUCAGAUUAUCACAAUAUAUAAUUUAUUUGCAGGCAUUACAGAUGUUUUGUGUACUUGGCAUUGUACCAAAUAUUGUUCAUUCAAUGACAUUUUCUAAUAGCAAGUUAAUAAUAAAUUAGAACAAGAUUGUGUGGAACUUGGUUUUGGAGGCUAUCGAAGCUCGAUAAAAUCUGUUGAUCACUGGCAGGGAUUUUGGCACUAGCAUUGUGAUUUAUAAGAUGUUUGCCAACCUGCCAGUGAAGGAAAUGCAGCUGAAAUUACAUUUUUACAAGAUUUCUGCUCAUAAAUCACAUGGUCAAUGUAAAAUGGAGCAUGGAAGCCAUGGACCUUUGCACUGCUUUGCAAAAGCAGUUCUGUGGGCAUGAAGGUCAGCAGCUCUUGGUGGAAAGUAGAGGGAACAUAUCACAGGAGUGACAGCUUCUGGAUUUAUUGCACCACAGCCUCUGGCUAACUCAGAAAUGGUAGCUCUCAGGACUUUAGGGCAGUAGUAUGUACUCUGUGCCUGAAACCUAGCGUCUAACACAGCCUUAGUUACCAGCUAUCUGUGAGGGGUGAGACUUUUGAUCACCAUUAACUCAUCUAGGAAUGAUACAUCUCAAGCUCUGUGGGCAACACACAUGCUGUUGCUACCUCCUGCCUCUUGUACUCAACCGCUAUUAAUAUCCUUAAGCUGGAGAGGGUUCUGUAUACCUCCACCCCCCAGUACACCAACCUGAGGUAACCUGAAUCCAGGUCUAAACUGGUUGGGACUAUUUUAGUGUCAACAUCCUUCACUAGAAAAUCAUCCCACGUCGACCGUAAAAUCUAACCCACUGUUAGAGACAGUGGGACAGGUUCUUAGCUGGCUCUAAAUUGCUGUAGCUGCACAGGUAGCAAUGGAAGUCAGGUGGUUUACGCUUUUGGAGUGGCUGGCCUGGCCUCUUUAGCUUUAAAAAUGAAACAAAUGAGGUAAGGGAAAUUCAUCUGUCAUGUAGUAUUAACAACAUCAGUAGAGUUACUUCAGGGAUAAAUUCAGCCCUAUGGAUGGAGGCUCACAAGAGGGAAAUCUCCACCACUGGUUCCCCCUGGGGACCUCUGCCUGUAGAGUUUCAUCUGUGGUUGGAAAUUUACUUUAAUUCCACAGAACAGGCCAUGAAACCAUUUGCAAACAGAGCAUCUCUAGAAAUCUGAGUGGUACUAAAGACAUCCACAGCAAAGCCUUUCUUCCCUGCCAAGUACUCUCUCCCUGGUGGGCAGCUCUAACUUCAUGUCUACUCUGUUUCUUUCUGCAUAUACAGGAGAUACAUAAACAACGUAUGUUUCCCAGAAACUUUAAGUACAGACAGCAUUUAAAAGUCAGAAUAUUCAUAUGGAGAGGCUGUCCCCAUAAUAAGUAUUUUUAGUUAAAAUGGUGUUUAGGUUAAGUGAAAAGAAAAAGCUUUAAAUGGUUUUUGCAUCUCUUGACACACUGAAGUAUUGAGUGACAUGUGGUUACAUAACUGAUCGCACCUUUCAAUGCAAUGGUCAUACACAUCACCAAAGCUGGAAAUUACCUUUUUUUCUCUAAAUAGUUACAUAUUUGCAUGUACUUGGUAUAGUAAAUAGCUGCUUUUCAGAUACCUGCUGAAUAUUAAGGGUUUGAUUUAUCAGGGAAGUUGGCAGAGAGUAUCAUAGUUGUGAAAACCCUGAUGAGAAGAAAAUAUUUAAUAAUAGUGUGAAGAGCAAACAGUUUCACUGUUGCUGUGGUGGAUUAAGAGCUGAGUAAAGCCCAAGUUAAGUCACUGCAGGUGUGCAGCUUAAUGAGCUGCAGUUGGGUAGCAGGUGAGCAUAAACUGAGAGCACACAGGGCAUAUUUGGGAAUGCUGUUAUGAUAGAAGAGCUGGAGUGAACAUGGGAUAGAUGUUUGAGGUAAAGCUACAGUAGAUAUUAUUUUUCUGUGCUUUCAUUUUUAAUGUGAGGAAAAUACAGAGAAAAUGAAAAUAAGCUAUGUUAAUAUCACAGGCGCGUGAGUUGGGCCUAUGACUUCUCUCCAUAUCUCCCAAGCAAGACCUAUAUUCUUUAACUAUUUGGUAAAAGGAAUGCGGAAAAUACCUAUUUGUGCAAGCCUGUUGUCUUUAUUAGUGUUUUUUUCUUUUAAAAAUACCAAUUUAUAAAAUAUAUUACAUUCAUAAGAAUUAACACUGCAGUUAUGAUGCAGUUCAGCUGUGUGUAUGUAAAAGUUAACUUUCAAGAAUAAAGGUCUAGAUUCCUUCCCCGCUCCCCCCCAGCACUGUUGCAGUGCAGCUCAUAAUGGGAUGGAUAGUCUAUAAAAUAUGACACAUUGUAUAGUGAUGUAGAUCUUCGAAAUGCUUGUUCAAGAAUCCAAAACAAAUCCUGUGCUUUUCUUUGCAUUUGUUUGGGAUCGUUGAUGUUCAUGUAGAGUGAAUAGAAGUUAAAUGUAAAGCAGUAUUAAAAAAAUGAAGCUGGGCUUCAUGCCUUAGACAUUCUAGGUAAAGUAGGUUUAGCCUAAAGAUGCAUAUAUGCGCUGCCACUUAUAUCUGUGGGAGCUGUGUGUGUGGCCUACAUAUGUAAGAGCAGAAUUGAAUUUAAGAAGAAAGAAAGGACAUGCGUAUGAAUGUAUGUGUAUAGAACUUCAGUCUGUGUAUAUACUAUAUAUAAGUGUGUGUAUAUAUAUGACAAUAUAAAUAUAUAAAAUAAAACCAACCUGCUCUA